rnacentral:lncRNA from 1 species
GAAUGGCCCCAGACUUGGCGGGCGGCCUCCGUGUGCCAAAAAUAGGCCACGGGCACAGCCGCGCCCAAAAAUCAGCCCCCGAAGGUCGGGGUCACAAGACCCCCCAGCGGAAAAAUGGCCAAGAAACGCAUGGGCUAUAGCCUUGGUGGGGGGCGUGGGCGAAGUUCGUCCGCGGGACUCGGAAUGGCCCCAGACUUGGCGGGCGGCCUCCGUGUGCCAAAAAUAGGCCACGGGCACAGCCGCGCCCAAAAAUCAGCCCCCGAAGGUCGGGGUCCCAAGACCCCCCAGCGGAAAAAUGGCCAAGAAACGGGUGGGCUAUAGCCUUGGUGGGGGGCGUGGGCGAAGUUCGUCCGCGGGACUCGGAAUGGCCCCAACCUUGGCGGGCAGCCUCCGUGUGCCAAAAAUAGGCCACGGGCACAGCCGCGCCCAAAAAUCAGCCCCCGAAGGUCGGGGUCACAAGACCCCCCAGCGGAAAAAUGGCCAAGAAACGCAUGGGCUAUAGCCUUGGUGGGGGGCGUGGGCGAAGUUCGUCCGCGGGACUCGGAAUGGCCCCAGAUUUGGCGGGCGCCCUCCGUGUGCCAAAAAUAGGCCACGGGCACAGCCGCGCCCAAAAAUCAGCCCCCGAAGGUCGGGGUCCCAAGACCCCCCAGCGGAAAAAUGGCCAAGAAACGCGUGGGCUAUAGCCUUGGUGGGGGGCGUGGGCGAAGUUCGUCCGCGGGACUCGGAAUGGCCCCAGACUUGGCGGGCGGCCUCCGUGUGCCAAAAAUAGGCCACGGGCACAGCCGCGCCCAAAAAUCAGCCCCCGAAGGUCGGGGUCACAAGACCCCCCAGCGGAAAAAUGGCCAAGAAACGGGUGGGCUAUAGCCUUGGUGGGGGGCGUGGGCGAAGUUCGUCCGCGGGACUCGGAAUGGCCCCAGACUUGGCGGGCGGCCUCCGUGUGCCAAAAAUAGGCCACGGGCACAGCCGCGCCCAAAAAUCAGCCCCCGAAGGUCGGGGUCCCAAGACCUCCCAGCGGAAAAAUGGCCAAGAAACGCGUGGGCUAUAGCCUUGGUGGGGGGCGUGGGCGAAGUUCGUCCGCGGGACUCGGAAUGGCCCCAGACUUGGCGGGCGGCCUCCGUGUGCCAAAAAUAGGCCACGGGCACAGCCGCGCCCAAAAAUCAGCUCCCGAAGGUCGGGGUCCCAAGACCCCCCAGCGGAAAAAUGGCCAAGAAACGGGUGGGCUAUAGCCUUGGUGGGAGGCGUGGGCGAAGUUCGUCCGCGGGACUCGGAAUGGCCCCAGACUUGGCGGGCGGCCUCCGUGUGCCAAAAAUAGGCCACGGGCACUGCCGCGCCCAAAAAUCAGCCCCCGAAGGUCGGGGUCCCAAGACCCCCCAGCGGAAAAAAGGCCAAGAAACGCGUGGGCUAUAGCCUUGGUUGGGGGCGUGGGCGAAGUUCGUCCGCGGGACUCGGAAUGGCCCCAGACUUGGCGGGCGGCCUCCGUGUGCCAAAAAUAGGCCACGGGCACAGCCGCGCC